rnacentral:lncRNA from 1 species
CUAUAUCCAAAAUCAAACCAAUGGAUAUGGUGUCAAAUACAUUCUAUCACCCUCCUGAUUCUUGAUUGAAGGGAUGUAGGAGGCAUUGUUUACACUACAUCCAGAUCAAUGACUAUGAUCUAAAGAUCGAUACACCAAGAAAGGUGUAGCCUAAAAACCAAGAGUGCAAGUCAAGUCAAUGAGAUGUAUAUCCAAGAGAACGAGAGCUAUCGGUCUAGGAUG